rnacentral:rRNA from 1 species
GAUGAACGCUGGCGGCGUGCUUAACACAUGCAAGUCGAACGGAAAGGCCACAGCUUGCUGUGGUACUCGAGUGGCGAACGGGUGAGUAACACGUGGGUGAUCUGCCCUGUACUUCGGGAUAAGCUUGGGAAACUGGGUCUAAUACCGGAUAGGAAUCACAUGUGGGUGUGUGGUUGGAAAGCUUUUGCGGUAUGGGGUGAGCUCGCGGCCUAUCAGCUUGUUGGUGGGGUAAUGGCCUACCAAGGCGUCGACGGGUAGCCGGCCUGAGAGGGUGUACGGCCACAUUGGGACUGAGAUACGGCCCAGACUCCUACGGGAGGCAGCAGUGGGGAAUAUUGCACAAUGGGCGCAAGCCUGAUGCAGCGACACCGCGUGGGGGAUGACGGCCUUCGGGUUGUAAACUCCUUUCGUCAGGGACGAAGCGAAAGUGACGGUACCUGGAUAAGAAGCACCGGCUAACUACGUG